UACGUAGGGUGCAAACGUUAUCCGGAUUUACUGGGCGUAAAGAGCUCGUAGGUGGCUCUGUAAGUUGAAUAUUAAAUCUCCCGGCUCAACUGGGAAAAAGUAUUCAAAACUGCAGGGCUAGAGGUAUGCAGGGGAGAAUGGAACACACGGUGUAGCAGUGAUAUGCGUAGAUAUCGUGUGGAACGCCAAAGGUGAAAACAGUUCUCUGGGCAUUACCUGACACUGAGGAGCGAAAGCGUGGGGAGCGAACGGG
rnacentral:rRNA from 1 species